rnacentral:rRNA from 1 species
GUGCCAGCAGCCGCGGUAAUACAGAGGGUGCAAGCGUUAAUCGGAGUUACUGGGCGUAAAGGGCGCGUAGGCGGUACCAUGGGUGUGAUGUGAAAGCCCCGGGCUUAACCUGGGAAGUGCAUCGCAAACUAUGGAACUGGAGUAUAUGAGAGGGUGGCGGAAUUUCCGGUGUAGCGGUGAAAUGCGUAGAGAUCGGAAGGAACGUCGAUGGCGAAGGCAGCCACCUGGCAUAAUACUGACGCUGAGGCGCGAAAGCGUGGGGAGCGAACAGGAUUAGAUACCCUGGUAGUCC